rnacentral:tRNA from 1 species
GCCCGGGUGGCUCAGUUGGUUGAGCGUCCGACUUUGGCUCAGGUCAUGAUCUCACGGCUCGAAGGCUUGUGGGUUCGAGCCCCGCAUCGGGCA